GACGAACGCUGGCGGCGUGCUUAACACAUGCAAGUCGAACGGAAAGGCCCUGCUUUUGUGGGGUGCUCGAGUGGCGAACGGGUGAGUAACACGUGAGUAACCUGCCCUUGACUUUGGGAUAACUUCAGGAAACUGGGGCUAAUACCGGAUAGGAGCUCCUGCUGCAUGGUGGGGGUUGGAAAGUUUCGGCGGUUGGGGAUGGACUCGCGGCUUAUCAGCUUGUUGGGGGGGUAGUGGCUUACCAAGGCUUUGACGGGUAGCCGGCCUGGGAGGGUGACCGGGCACAUUGCGACUGCGAUACGGACCAGAAUCGUACGGGACGCAGUGGUGGGGAAUAUUGCAGAAUGGGCCGAAGCGUGAGGCAGCAACGCCGGGUGCGGGAUGACGGCCUUUGGGGUGUAAACCGCUGUGGCCUGUGACGAAGCGUGAGUGACGGUAAUGGGUAAAGAAGCACCGGCUAACUACGUG
rnacentral:rRNA from 1 species